rnacentral:tRNA from 36 species
ACACCCGUAGCUCAGUUGGUUAGAGCACUACCUUGACAUGGUAGGGGUCGGUGGUUCGAGUCCACUCGGGUGUACCA